AUGUGGUCCAGAGACUCCAUACGGAGGGCUGUGAUGCUGGAUUCCACAGAUGUGAACAUAUGGUACAAGAUUGGUCAGGUGGCUGUGCGACUGCUGCGCAUUCCAUUGGCGCGGCAUGCCUUUGAGGAGGGUCUGCAAUGUAACCCCGACCACUGGCCCUGUCUGGACAACGUCAUUACUGUUGUCUACAUACUCAGUGACUACAGCUGCUGUUUGUAUUUCAUCAGCAAAGCCCUGGAAAAGGAUCAUUGUUACACCAAAGGGCUGGUGUUGAAGGAAAAUAUCUUUGAAGAGCAGCCUUGUUUCAAGAGGGACUCCGUGCAAAUGCUACUGAAGUGUGACAUGUCCAUUCACUAUGUGGAGGAGACCCAGGCCAUUGUGGAGGAGGCAAUGGAUCUGUGACGGUGCAGACAGGCUCUCUCUGCCCAGGAACUCAGACCUGGUGCUGGUACAAACUAUCCUCUGUUUCUCGUGUUAGAAUGUGGGAGAGAGCCUCCUUGCCAUGUACAGACAUCAGACCACCUGCGAGCCGCCAUGCCCAAGCCUGGGCCGCAGGAUCAACCUGUCCCAGUACCGCAACCCCAACUGCCUCCAGGCCUUGCCUCCUGAGCCCUGCCCUCCUCCUGUCAGUGAGAUCAAGACCAUCCCCAGCAGCAGCCCCAGCAUCUCCCUGCCUCCACUCCCUGUCCCUGAGCCAUCAGCACUGUCCCAGCCCAGUCCUCUGGUUCAGAUAACACAAACUACAGCCCCCUCUGUUGGUUCUUCCGUUCCACUCAGACUGAAGAAGUUUGACCUUGAGGAUGAUGACGAGAGCCUGAGUAACCUGGAGGCCCAGUGUGAAAUCAAGCAGGACUUCCAGCUGCUCCAUGGCACAAGCUCGUCUUACCCAUUCGUCUCCCUGAAAAGCUAGCUAUUCAGCAGCGCAAAACAACAGGAUGUCCACAACUUCCUGAUCAAUAAUAUGAGCAACGGUGGGAUAUUAGAGAUGACGAUGCGCUAUCUGAAAGCGGUGGGUCAGAGGUUCAUGGAGGAGUGGCCUCGUGGGCUGACUGCAGUGGUGCAGGAGGUGUAUCAUAGUUGGAGGAAGCACAGUAGUGGCCGGCCCAACCCUCUACUCCGCAACUGCAGUAAUCAACACAAAUGGGAAAUGUCGCUGAUAAGCCUAUCAUGUAUGGAGAUUCAGUUGGAGCAGUGGUCUCACAGCAAAGGCAAGAAUGGUACGUGUCAAACACAUUGGGUGCCCAAGAAAGUGCAGUGGGGGCCAGAGCAGUGUUGGUGUGAGUUCCCAGGGCAGCACUCUGAGGGGGACCUGUUACAGCUGGGGAACCUGUUUGAGGAAAACUGGGUGGCUGUGGUGGAGCGUGUUUCCUUGCUCAAGGCAUGCUUCUUGGCCCUGCAAGGAGACCUGGACCAGGCCCUGGAGAGCUAUGAUAUGUGUGCAGGCAUGCUGCAGAGAUUCACGCACGGACCACAGAGGAGGAAAGGUACACCAUCUACCUGCCCAACCUGCGUGCAGAUGCAGCCAUCUCGGUGGAGGAGAUUGAUAAGAAGCUGGUGUCUCUGGAGCAUUGUCAGUCCCUGGCGGAGAUCCAGCGUCUGAGUCUAGGGACUAUGAGUCUGUGGUGCGGCUGCUGCAGCCCACCCUCAGUUAUGGCUCUGGGCGGGUCAAGCCUCUGGAGUUUGUCCAGCUGCUGCUGUUGCAGAACACCCUGUUGAAACUGAAGGACUACCGUCAGUGUCUGGAGUUCACCGAGGUUGCCCUGAACGAAGCCCUGCAGCAGCUCAACUCUGUCCCAGUCAGCUCUCACACGGCAAAGGAGGAGUGGUUCUCUACCAUCACAACGCUGUUGGGAGGCUUUGAGGUCUGCUUCACAGAGGACCCUCAGCUCCUGAGCAACAUCAACCACUACACCAGCAUGGUCCAGCUGGCCAACAACCUCAUCCGGGUCAACAUUCACACUAAUAUACCUGGUAGACACAGAGUGUGUUUGGAAACAGAAAAUGAUAUAUAAAUGUGUGCUGUGUCCAGCUCAGCCCUGCCCUGGAUUCUCCUGCACCACAUCAUCAAGCACGAGGAGGCUGCCUUCAACUGCCUGCUUCGCUAGCACAUAUAUUCAUAGGGGAUGAUGAAGGCACAUUACAUGACCAAAUAUUACUCUAACACCCCCAUUCUGCCCUCCUCCCUGAUGCUGCUCAACAUGGCCCAUGAGUACCUGGGCCACCGCUCCUGGUGCUGCAACUCAGAUGUUCAGGUGCUAUGUGAGUCGGUUCGUGUUCUGAAGAAAGAGCGGUCUCCCUCUAAAGUGGAGGAUACUCAUCCCUAGAAAGAGGAGAUGGAGAUGGGCUUGGAGCAGUGCUUCUACUGCCUGUAUGCUUACCCCAGCAAGAAGAUCAUGGCCCGCUAUCUAGAGGAGCACUCUGCUCAACAGGUGGAACUCAUGUUCCAGUACUUUAAGCCCAAGACUCUGCCUCAGUUUGACAGCUACAAGACGAGUACGGUGUCUGCUGACCUGGCCAAACUGCUGAAGAGGAUCUCUGGCAUUGUGUCCUACAGUGACACUCCCAUCCUCACUAUGGACGAGGUGUCAGCCUACAUCGAGGGCACGGCUGGAAUCAAAUCAAAGUUUAUUUGUCACCCAGUGGCUUGCUUUCCUGAGAGGGGCGCUCCAGCACCCCCUGUUGUCAAUGAGAUCUUCUACCUCCUGGCUGACUAGCACUUUGAGAACAAGGAGCGGUCCAAGGCCGUUAAGUUCUAUAUACAUGACAUCUGUGUCCAAACAGGUCAGGAAGAAAACAAGGCCCGCCACAUCCAGGACAAGUUAAACUCUAUUGAACUAAAGAGGGAUGGCCCCAUCCAGGACAAGCUAAACUCCAACGAAUUGAAGAGCGAUGGCCCCAUGUGGAAGCACUCCAUGGCUGUGCUCAAAUGCUUUAAGAGGGCCCUGGCUCUGUGGAUCGAGUACGGUACCAUGUCCUAUGCCCUGUACUCCUUCACCUCGCGCCAACUCAAACAGUGGAGAAACGAGCUACCCUCCGAGGUCAUCAAACCGGUGCAGUGGGCAACCAGUGGGAUAGGGAUGAGGAAGAGUGGUUCAUUCACUACCAUGCUGGGGAAGAUUGCUGAGAAACGCAAGCAGCCACCCCGGGAAUACAUCCAGCUCUACAAACAGGCAGCACAUUAUCUGCACAAGGAGGAUGCCAGAUACACUACCACAAUUCCCCUGACUUGUCUAUGGAGGCCCUGGAAUCUGAGGAACCGGACCUGGAGCAUGAUCUUCAACAUCCUGGCUGAGGUGGCCACUGGACCCUUUGCCAGGGGGGAAGAGAAGGGCAGGCCCAGGUCCAACGAAAAGGAGAUGCCCCUCUCCAUGAUGGACGAGGACUCCCACUGCUCUGUGUCAGCUGUGUGCGAUGGAUGUUCAUGGGGCCUCCCUCCCCUCCAACGCCGCAGGUCUGACGUCCCCACCUUACACGACCACGGUUACACCAAACUUAACAGCCUCCGGCAGCAGCAGACCAAACGUAACAGCCUCCGGCAGCAACAGACGAGGAAACAGUAUGAGGAGGAGCUGCAGACUGAUGAGCGCAGUCAGGACAGCGUGGUGGUGACACUGUCGGACUCCAACCCCAACCAGGAUGCCUUCACAGACCCCCGCCAGCUCCCAGGACAGCCACCCCCCCAGACUCCUACAAGCGAUUGGAGGAGCCGCUACCCUAGGUGGCCAGAUCCCCCUCCAGAGAUGGUCGAGGUGCCCAAGGCCCUCCCUACUGAGCAUUGCAGCAUGCUGGUGGACAUGUGUGUCUAGUGUCUUCCUCUGCCUGAGCUGCUUCCCUCAGCAUGACAAGAGCCUCUACCGUCUGGCCUUCUACAUCAACAGCAAGACCCAACAGAAUCUGCGGUGGCCACAUGAUGUGUUGCUAGGAAGCAGUGUCCCAUGGCAACAGCUGAAGCAUAUGCCAGCACGAGGACUUUUCUAUGAGGGGAACAAGACAAAUCUGUUCAAUGGCAUCUGGCAUAUUCCAGUGGAUGAGAUUGAUCGCCCUGGCAGUUUUGCAUCUCAUAUGAACCGAUCCAUCGUCCUCUUGCUGGAGGUGCUGUCUCAGCUGAAGGACCACGACACACUGAUCAAAGUCUCUUUCAUGCUCCAGAGAACCCCUGACCAGGGAAAGAAGUAUUUGCGGGAUGUGGAUCAUCAGGUUUUGGCCCAGAGAGCAUUUUUCCUAGCUGUAAAAGUCCUGGAGGACAAUCUGAACAAACUCACAGGGCCUUCCAAAGUGCCUGUGCCCUCCAUGGGGGAAAUGACAACCACGGACACGUCCAACAGGCCCAGUGCAGAGGACAGCAGUCAUGCACUGCAUAAGAAGCCUGAGCUCGCUGAGGGACCCCAGGUCACUGCCCCAGGCCCUGACUCUGGGUCCCGGGAGACCCCUCAGACACAGCCAGCCCUGCUGGCCACAGACAGAAACAGGGGGGAUCAGCAGCAGAGAACUCCAUCUGGGAAGGUGGAGGCUGCUGUGGGAAAGGGGGCCAGAGCAGUGCCGGAGGAGCCCAUGGAGCUGGAUGCUGGCCACUCGGGGCAUCCCUCCAAGACCACAGACUCUCGGUGCAUCCAACCAGACACGGAGUCCCCCAGAACUGUCCUGGUGCCUGGGGAGAAAGUGGCUGAGAGCAGCCGCGCACCGGAGCUUUCUCUGGAGGACCUGAGCAUCAGCUCCAGACAGCAGCAGCUCCAGUGCCCGGUAGCUAAGGGCCCAGUGUUAGCCAGCGGAGCAGAGCAGGGACUAGCCCAGGGGGCGCUAUGCAGGCCCAGCAGGAAGAGGAAGCUCCUGGAUGACGUGGAGUCAGGCGAAACUCUUCUGCUGGAUGCCUACCGGGUGUGGCAGCAGGGCCAGAAGGUCAUGACCUACGACCUGGGGCGCAUUGAGAAGAUCAUGUCAGAGACGUACAUGCUCAUCAAGCAGGUGGAUGAGGACGUGGCGCUGGAUCAAGCCGUGAAGUUCUGCCAGAUACAGAUGGCCACGUCAGCACAACGACAGUCUGCCAGUGAUGCCCCGACAACACCCAAGUACACUAAGGAUAACCGCGACAUCUUCUUCCCUGCCUCUCUGCCAACCCCGGUCUUGCUCAGCCACACUGCCUGCCACCCUCUGUCCAUCCAGAUCCAGGACAGCCAAGCCAAACUACAGUACGAGCCCCUGGGCAAGGUGCCCAGACCUCCAGGCAGCGGCUCCCACGAGCAGCCCCAGCACAGGAGAGCCCCCCUGCCCAUCCACCCUGCUUCAACUAUGGCCUUCAACCCCCAAACAGAUGAACUUGAGGAGCCCGCAGAGGGACUGUCCUACAGACAGCAGGAGUCUCAUCUGUGCCAACAGAUGAAGCUGGCCACUGUGUCCCCAGGGCAGGAGGCUGCAGGCUGGCACCUUGACGAGCAUGCUUCCUGUAGUACCACACAACCCUGCUCAGACCAGCAGCUGUAUGGCAGCAGUGAGCAGUCUAAGAUGUCGGACCCCAGUCGUGUCCGCUCCCGCAUCCCCCCCAACAUGCCAAAGCUCUUCAUCCCCUCCACUGUCACCAAGUUCCCCCCGGAAAUUACCGUCACCCCGCCUACACCCACCCUACUCUCCCCCAAAGGAAGUAUCUCAGAGGAAACCAAGCAGAGACUCAAGAACGUGAUCCUGUCCUCCCAGUCGGCGGCCACAGUGAAGAAGGAGACGCUGAGCCAGCCAGCCCUGGAGGUGCAGGAGACCUCCAGCCAGGAGUCCUCUCUGGAGAGUGAAUCAGACGAUGGGGAUGAGGAGGAUGAUUACAUGGACAUCUGAGCUACUGACCCUUCUCACAGCUACAAGAGUGAACAAACCCAGGCUGCUCAUUUGAGCUAGACCUGACUUCCACCAACCCUUCCACCUUGUCUUGAAACAAUGGAAUGGUACAUGUCACUGCAGCUAGUGUCUCUGUGUUGGUGCAGUUGGUCUAUCUUGUAUUGAAUGGGAAAAAGCUCUAGAAAGUCACACUGUGGAUGACUGGGGAUGUUUUUAGUUAAACAACAAUUUAGCAAAGUGCCAUUUUACACUCAUCACACCUGCCAGGUAGCCAAGGUCUCCAUAGUCUUUCACAUGAAAAUGGGAAAGGGUGUAGAAUGAUGAUCAACACUUACUGUAAGUUAAAUGGUCAGAAUUUGUGGAUUGUUGCAAUGCAAUUGGCAUCCUUGGCUGUGAUUUAUGCAUCUUUCACAAGUAAUGGGGACAAAAAUUCAGCCUGCUUUUACUAUAUUUCAACUGCAGCUACAUCCUUGUUGGUGGGAUUCAACAUCCCACACUGAGGUACUUCAACAUGAUAUGUGCCAUGGCAACAUAUGACUGUUGCCAGCCAACUUUUGUCCAUACACAUUGAUAUAAGAACCUAAACUGCAAGAAACCCACAUUUGUAUGUGACCUGUAUUUUCAUGGACACUAUGAUUUACUGAGGACCAUCAGCUGCAAACCAGGCUUUUAUAUGGGCCUCCUAACGCAAUGUUGAGGAACCUACUUCACCAAAGCUUAAUAACCUGUAGCAGAUUGGAUAUGUUUGCACUUCCCAGUGGGAUGUCUUUGAUUUGUCUUUUGUUUGUUCUAUUUUUGUACUUCACUGGAUUAUUUCAAGUCUUGUUUGAUUUUGUCCUUUGUUUCUGUGUGGAUUUGUAGCUUGGAGGAGUCUUUACCAGGAAGAGGUCUUGUCACCAGCAUUGCUCAGGAUAAUAGACAGAGAGAUGUUUUGGAUUAGCCUGAAUUAGCUUUUGUACAUCACACUUAAAACAUAUUUUCCAAUGAGGCAACUCUUAUUGGGUUCGGGUGUUUAUUUAGCAUUGGGGUCAAGUACAUCUCAAUUCUAGUCAAUUUAGGAAACAAAUUCAAUUUAACUUAAUCAGUUGUGCGUCAGUUUAUUUUCUGAAUUCACUGGCAUUGUAAGGGAAGGUGUGGAUGUUCCUAAUUCAGAUAAAAUGCCUUCCCGAUGGAUCAGUUUUGGUAAAUAGGUUUAAAUUCAAAGUAAACUCGGAAAGGGGAUAGUUAGUCAGUUGUACAGAAUACAAUAUGUUUUUUACAGAUUGUUUUCUAUAAAAAGAAGGAUAUGUAGUGUAUGUUUAUUGUCAAAAACACGACUUUUUAAAAAAGGAAGAAAUUAUUCAUUAAUAAUUGUAAAGGACAUUGCCCAAACAAGUCUUGCUUGACUACCUGUAAAUGGAUGUUUGUAUUUUUUGAUGUAUAAUACUGUUUUGUAUUUCUACUGCUGAGCUUCUUAUGGGAAUAUGUAAUGGCUAAAAGGUGACUUUGGGUUCAAGGCUUUUCUUCUGCUCUUCAACCUUAGCUCAGGCUGGGGAGUUGUUGUUCUCUACAUAUUGACUUGCCACAUUAAAGAUGUCACAACAAAAAUAUACUUGA